rnacentral:rRNA from 1 species
GGGCCCGCACAAGCGGCGGAGCAUGCGGAUUAAUUCGAUGCAACGCGAAGAACCUUACCAAGGCUUGACAUGUGCCGGAAAAGUGCAGAGAUGUGCUCCCCGCAAGGUCGGUACACAGGUGGUGCAUGGUUGUCGUCAGCUCGUGUCGUGAGAUGUUGGGUUAAGUCCCGCAACGAGCGCAACCCUCGUUCUAUGUUGCCAGCGGGUUAUGCCGGGGACUCAUAGGAGACUGCCGGGGUCAACUCGGAGGAAGGUGGGGAUGACGUCAAAUCAUCAUGCCCCUUAUGUCUUGGGCUUCACGCAUGCUACAAUGGCCAAUACAAAGGGCUGCGAUACCGUAAGGUGGAGCGAAUCCCAAAGAACUGGUCUCAGUUCGGAUUGGGGUCUGCAACUCGACCCCAUGAAGUCGGAGUCGCUAGUAAUCGCAGAUCAGCAACGCUGCGGUGAAUACGUUCCCGGGCCUUGUACACACCGCCCGUCAAGUCACGAAAGUCGGUAACACCCGAAGCCGGUGGCCCAACUCGCAAGAGGGGGAGCCGUCGAAGGUGGGACUGGCGAUUGGGACU